UCACCCCACAUCAUUUAGAUUUUCGAGUCGGCCGAGUGCCUGCUGACCUGUCAACAGCCUAUUAAGGCCAUUCAAAACAAAUUGAAACCAUUAAUGGACCUGACCAUUUAACCUUAAGGUCGGCGGACAGGCCGGGAGCUCUGGCGGGCUUUAGAGAAAGCAUCAAACCUCAUCCACGGGCAGGGUGAGGUUUCAUAAGCCUUCUGUUUCAGACCUUCCCACACACUCAGUUGUGAAUCUUUGGAAUUCUCCACCCCAGAGAGUUGUGGAUGCUCCAUCGUUGGAUACGUUUAAGGUU